CCUACGGGAGGCUGCAGUAGGGAAUAUUGCUCAAUGGGGGAAACCCUGAAGCAGCAACGCCGCGUGGAGGAUGAAGGUUUUCGGAUUGUAAACUCCUUUUGUUAGAGAAGAUAAUGACGGUAUCUAACGAAUAAGCACCGGCUAACUCCGUGCCAGCAGCCGCGGUAAUACGGAGGGUGCAAGCGUUACUCGGAAUCACUGGGCGUAAAGAGCGCGUAGGCGGGAUAGCAAGUCAGAUGUGAAAUCCUAUGGCUUAACCAUAGAACUGCAUUUGAAACUGUUAUUCUAGAGUAUGGGAGAGGUAGGUGGAAUUCUUGGUGUAGGGGUAAAAUGCGUAGAGAUCAAGAGGAAUACUCAUUGCGAAGGCGACCUGCUAGAACAUAACUGACGUUGAUGCGCGAAAGCGUGGGGAGCAAACAGGAGUAGAUACCCUAGUAGUC
rnacentral:rRNA from 1 species